rnacentral:misc_RNA from 1 species
AACUUUUGACAAUGGAACACUUGGUUCUGGCAUCGAUGAAGAACGCAGCGAGAUGCGAUAAGUAAUGUGGAUUGCAGAAUUCAGUGAAUCAUCGAAUCUUUGAACGCACAUUGCGCCCUCUGGUAUUCCGGGGGGCAUGCCUGUUCGAGCGUCAUUACAACCCUCAAGCUCUGCUUGGUAUUGGGUGCCGCCCCUCACGGGGCGCGCCUUAAAGACAGUGGCGGUGCCGUCCGGCUCCAAGCGUCGUAAUUCUUCUCGCUCUGGAGGACCGGCCGCGUGCCCGCCAGAACCCCCAAUUUUUUCAGGUUGACCUCGGAUCAGGUAGGGAUACCCGCUGCACUUAAGCAUAUCAAUAAGCGGAGGCC